GACUCAACUGAAGGACACUAUAGAUGAGAAACUCACACUAACUGAGCUGAAGUGGAUGCAGCAGUAUGCAGUGGAUGUGACUCUGGAUCCUGAUACAGCUCAUCCU